rnacentral:rRNA from 1 species
CGCGGCCUAUCAGCUUGUUGGUGAGGUAACGGCUCACCAAGGCAUCGACGGGUAGCUGGUUUGAGAGGAUGAUCAGCCACACUGGGACUGAGACACGGCCCAGACUCCUACGGGAGGCAGCAGUGGGGAAUCUUGCGCAAUGGGCGAAAGCCUGACGCAGCAACGCCGCGUGGGGGAGGAAGGCUUUCGGGUCGUAAACCCCUUUCAGCAGGAACGAAAAUGACGGUACCUGCAGAAGAAGCCCCGGCCAACUACGUGCCAGCAGCCGCGGUGACACGUAGGGGGCGAGCGUUGUCCGGAAUUAUUGGGCGUAAAGAGCUCGUAGGCGGUUUAGUAAGUCAGAUGUGAAAGGUUGGGGCUCAACCCUAAGACUGCAUCCGAUACUGCUAUGACUAGAGUCCGGUAGAGGAGUGUGGAAUUCCUGGUGUAGCGGUGAAAUGCGCAGAUAUCAGGAGGAACACCGACGGCGAAGGCAGCACUCUGGGCCGGUACUGACGCUCAGGAGCGAAAGCGUGGGUAGCAAACAGGAUUAGAUACCCUGGUAGUCCACGCCGUAAACGUUGGGCACUAGGUGUGGGGCCUUAUCAACGGGUUCCGUGCCGUAGCUAACGCAUUAAGUGCCCCGCCUGGGGAGUACGG